UUACAAUACUGGGUAUCAAAUUUUUGUGCUACGUUUACGGAAGACAAGGGACGAAAUUAUGAAGUGUACUCUCUCUAUAUAUGUAGAUAUAUACUUUGAUUGAAGAACUAUGGUAGCUUUAGAUGGUUAAUUGUAAAGAUAAUGAAUGAUUAUGUAGUGGAUGAUUUUAUUAAGUUAAUAAUAUUUUAGUUUUUUGUAUUUUUG
rnacentral:lncRNA from 1 species